rnacentral:rRNA from 1 species
UUGCUCUGGAAAUACUAUGGCUAGAUAAAGUACAAGUCGUAACAAGGUUUCAGUUGGAGAACCAGCUGAAGGAUCAUUU